CAGAACAUGGGUAUAUUAGUGAUCAAUAUGAUGUACGCCUGUUGCGUAACAAAUGAUAUGGAUUGAAGUCCCAGGAUGACAAUCCAUUAACAUGUCAAUAUUAAUACAGUGUAUGCCUAAUGCGUAGCAAAUUAUAUAGUUUAAAGUCCCAGAAGGACAAUUAAUUGACAUGUAUGUAUUAAUAUGUGGCAUGCCUGCAACAUGACAGAUAUAUGGGUUCUAAAUGUUCCAACUCCUUGAAUGGAGAUUAUCCACGCCCUACUAUAAAAUAAUGCUCCAUUGGAGGUUAGGAUCCACAUUCUCACAUAAUUCAUCCUAUAAGAGAUGUCUGUCUGGAAAGAAACAAUAAAAGCCCCUUGAAUGGCUUGGGUAUCUAAAAGCAAAGAAAUAUUCAUAAUUGAUGCAUGCACAUGACAUGAAAGUGGUGCGAUCACAAAUUGAUGAAUGAUAAUUUUUGGUUUUGGAGUAGCUACUCAAAU
rnacentral:lncRNA from 1 species